rnacentral:rRNA from 1 species
UACGUAGGGUGCGAGCGUUUGUCCGGAAUUAUUGGGCGUAAAGGGCUCGUAGGCGGUUUGUCGCGUCGGGAGUGAAAACUCAGGGCUUAACCCUGAGCCUGCUUCCGAUACGGGCAGACUAGAGGUAUGCAGGGGAGAACGUGAAUUCCUGGUGUAGCGGUGAAAUGCGCAGAUAUCAGGAGGAACGACCGGCUGGCGGAAGGCGGUUCUCUGGGCAUUACCUGACGCUGAGGAGC